rnacentral:rRNA from 1 species
UACGUAGGGGGCAAGCGUUGUCCGGAAUCAUUGGGCGUAAAGAGCGCGUAGGCGGCCCAGUAAGUCCGCUCUGAAAGUCAGGGGCUCAACCCCUGGAUGCGGGUGGAUACUGCUGGGCUAGAGUCCGGAAGAGGUGAGUGGAAUUCCUGGUGUAGCGGUGAAAUGCGCAGAUAUCAGGAGGAACACCGGUGGCGAAGGCGGAUCUCUGGGCCGAUACUGACGCUGAGGAGCGAAAGCGUGGGGAGCGAACAGG